rnacentral:rRNA from 1 species
AACGAACGCUGGCGGCAUGCCUAACACAUGCAAGUCGAACGAGACCUUCGGGUCUAGUGGCGCACGGGUGCGUAACGCGUGGGAACCUGCCCUUAGGUUCGGAAUAACUCCCCGAAAGGGGUGCUAAUACCGGAUAAUGUCUUCGGACCAAAGAUUUAUCGCCUUUGGAUGGGCCCGCGUUGGAUUAGCUAGUUGGUAGGGUAAAAGCCUACCAAGGCGACGAUCCAUAGCUGGUCUGAGAGGAUGAUCAGCCACACUGGGACUGAGACACGGCCCAGACUCCUACGGGAGGCAGCAGUGGGGAAUAUUGGACAAUGGGCGAAAGCCUGAUCCAACAAUGCCGCGUGAGUGAUGAAGGCCUUAGGGUUGUAAAGCUCUUUUACCCGGGAUGAUAAUGACAGUACCGGGAGAAUAAGCUCCGGCUAACUCCGU